rnacentral:rRNA from 1 species
UACGGAGGGAGCUAGCGUUGUUCGGAAUUACUGGGCGUAAAGCGCGCGUAGGCGGCUUUGUAAGUUAGAGGUGAAAGCCCGGAGCUCAACUCCGGAACUGCCUUUAAACUGCAUCGCUUGAAUCCAGGAGAGGUGAGUGGAAUUCCGAGUGUAGAGGUGAAAUUCGUAGAUAUUCGGAAGAACACCAGUGGCGAAGGCGGCUCACUGGACUGGUAAUUGACGGCUGAG